CGACCCUGCUAGGAAUAAAGAGGGAAACAAAUUGAGUAGAUGUAGAAUAUCAAUCCAAUAAUUAGUUUCAACGGUUGAAUAGAAGAAAAAAAUGAUUAUUUAUUUUUAUGGUGUGUAUUGUAUGGUGACAUACCUUUGCAUCUGGUCUUAAGCUGGGUUCCUAUUCUAUCACAAUGUUUGAAAGGGUUAGCAUCCAAAGUUGUGAAGGUAGCUCAGAGAAAAGCAAAGAGAAUUGUGAUCGACUUGGAAGAAGAGCUAUAUAUGCUUUUAUUUACCCAAACUUCAUGAUUAAUAGGUAUGGACCUUGAUGGACUCCAAUCUUGUGGUUCCACUAGGACCCAACAAAUGUCAAGUAAUAUUUGACUACUAUCUUGAACAUUUUCUGAAGGUAAUUUCUUGUUAUUUAAGCAUUUGCCUAAUGCCUGAUACUGUAUCCAUGAUUCAGAAUUUCUAAAAUGUACCUGGUGGUAACUUCACUAUCGACCCCAUUGUACCCACUGUAUAUGGGAUUAAAUUUGAAGAAAAUAGCCACCAUUAGGGGCUUUAGCGGGAAAGAGUUGUUGGUUAAUGACUAGGAUAUGGAAUGUUAAGAAAUGAGAAAUUCAGAUCGUUGCUUGUCAUACUUUGAAUGAUUUCAUGAAAAUACUAAAACCAUUCACUUCUUGCUUUGA